GAUAAAAAUAUUACGUAAACUUUCUGAUUGGAGCUGGUUUUCUGUUCUAGAGAACCUUUUCCAUUUUGCAGGAUGACAAAUACGAGGCAUUUGUCUGAUCAAACG
rnacentral:snoRNA from 1 species